rnacentral:tRNA from 1 species
GCGGAUGUAGCUCAACUGGGAGAGCGCCGGAUAUAAUCCGGAGGUUGUGGGUUCGAGUCCCGUCGUCUGCACCA